AUUGAACGCUGGCGGCAGGCCUAACACAUGCAAGUCGAACGAGUGGCGGACGGGUGAGUAAUGUCUGGGAAACUGCCCGCUGGAGGGGGAUAACUAAUGGAAACUGUAGCUAAUACCGCAUACCAUCGGAUGUAGCCAGAUGGGAUUAGCUAUUAGGUGGGGUAAUGGCUCACCUAGGCGACGAUCCCUAGCUGGUCUGCGAUGAUGACCAGACACACGGGAACUGAGACACGGCCCAGACUCCUACGGGAGGCAGCAGUGGGGAAGAUUGCACAAUGGGCGCAAGCCUGAUGCAGCCAUGCCGCGUGUAUGAAGAAGGCCUUCGGGUGGUAAAGUACUUUCAGCCGGGAGGCGUUACCGACAGAAGAAGCACCGGCGAACUCCGUGCCAGCAGCCGCGGUAAUAC
rnacentral:rRNA from 1 species